rnacentral:lncRNA from 10 species
UGUUGAACCUGGUGGCCCAGGAGACUGGAGUCAGUCGGUGCCUGCCCCUCCCUGUCGCCCAGCUGGACUUGUUCCCAGCCGAGCACGGAAAGGGAGCAGCACUGUCUGUGCUAAGGCCCUUGGAAGGAAGACAUUGUGGAAGGCGAUUAGGAAGAGGUCUCCCUGAUUCAGGCCUGGUGAGGGAGGAGGUGGGGCCGCCUGAGUUCAGCAGCUCAGCGGGUGUUAACUAGGAAGCAGUGCGAGGUGCAGCCAGGGCAGGAAAGGAGGACAGUCCCGCCCUCUGGGGCCUGGGCCACUGACAGCGGGGUCGGGCGGUGGGGAGCAGAUGAGUGGAGCCUGGAGUCCCCAGUCCUCCAGCUUAGCGUGACUCAGUGUGUGAACUUCUCACUGGGGACCCCUCUGUGCCUGACCCCGCCUAGAGGGGCAGAUGACACGAAAAUCAACCACUGCAUCCCCAGGACCGCCACACGUCCACCGAAGGAACAGCUGUAGCUGCCGGAGGGAAGCUGUGGGCCCUACAGGAAUCUUGCCACUCCCUAUCAAGAGGUGUGCCCUGUUUCCUUCUCCUUGAACCUGGUGGGAUUUUGGAAGUGCCUGAUUUCCAAGGCUACACCCUAAAAGGUUCUUCUAUAUUUUCUCUGAAGAAUCCUGGUGGGGACUUUUAUAAGCGGAAUUAGCCAGGAAGAAACAUAUAUACCUAACCCCAGAGACAUAAUAAAGUUCACUUGCAGUGCUUCUGUGAGUGCUGAGAGGAUUUCGCGGCUGCUUCUCAUCCCUGGAGCUUCUCAUCGCCUCCUCUUGUCCUGUUGGUUAGUCGUCUCCUUCUUGGGGUCCUAAUUAAAAAAAAAAAAAACUGGCUUCCACUGGCUUCUGGGAAUUUCUACUCCUCCUUCAGCAAAGCAGGACUUACAACUAUUACCUUCCUAUCCCCAGGGUGUGGAAAGACUACGCUGUGAGGAUGCAUAAGAAUGAUACAGUGGACUCUGGGAACCUGGGGGAGAGGGUGGGAGGUGGGUGAGGGAUGAAAGACUACACACUGGGUACAGUGUACACUGCUUGGGUGAUGGGUGCACCAAAACCUCAGAAAUCACAACUAAAGAACUUACUCAUGUAACCAAACACCACUGUUCCCCCAAAACCUAUUGAAAUAAAAAAUAAAUUUAAAAAUAAAGACUAGGCUGAACUUCAAAGAAGACUCUACCUAAGCCCAAGGAAGAUUAAAAAAAAAGACGCAAACAGAGUGCAACAUGAGAUUAGAUUUUCCGGAAUAUAAGAGAUGACCUAUUUGCCUUGACCUCACGUGCCCCUCUGCCCAGCUUCUGGAACUCCUGCGGUGGCUCAGAGUCAUAGCCCUCCUGUGACCCUCUCCUGAAAAGGUGUGCACAGAAGAGCAGGCCUAGAAGCUUCACAAGAGAAUGAGGCCCAACAACUCCUAAAAAUACCUAAUUCUCACCAGCAGAAGUCCUGUCCUUCAAGUUUUAAAUUCUAUAUGAAGACAGAGGAAAGGCUCUGCCUUCGCUGACAGGAUCCAGAGUAAGACUACAGCAGGACAAUUCACAGCACACCGCUGUCAGCCCACUGAGGGUGAUUCUACCCGAGGCUGCCCUGGCGACUCUGACAAUGUGGCCUGUGCCGCCAAGACCAUCUGCAUUCAGUCUACAUUCGCCAUGAGACCUCUCAUGCUCUUCCUCUAAUUCCACAUGGAAAGUGGUGAAGGGUCUGUUUAUUUACACCUGGGAAUGUCUGUGUCUUUGUAGAAUAAACUGAAGGCUAAGGCAACUCUUUGGAAGACCAUUCCACCUGGAAACCAACGAUCUAAUUUUGCUUCAAAACUUCCCUGUCUCUGUAGAGCUCACAGCGGUCUUCGCAACCACAUGCUACAAGCUUGUUCACCAUUCCCUUGAGGCUGCAUAAAUACAUUAUUCGCUUCUGAGCCCUGCCUCUCAGGGGUCUGCUUUUCUUCAGCCAAGUGUCCCACGGUGUGUCCAGAAUUGUGUGAUAGCAGUGAGGGAAACCACCAAGAUGACAAUUUACUUACUGUCUCUUGGACCUCUCUCGCCCCUCCCCGGGACCUCAGGCUGCCUUUGCUCUAAGAAGGGCCAGGAAGCACUGUGGCUGGUGAGGAGACCAGGCCAGGAUUAAAGGGCGUGGGCAAGUUAGAAAGUGGUCUGGACACCCCUUGUCGCCACUGGAACUCCCACUUCACAUCCAUUACGUCAGGAUUCUGGGGGUAGGGCUUGGGCACCCAUGUUUUCUAGAGCUCUGAAAGCGGUUCCCAUAUGCAGCGGGGGUUGGGACUUCACCUCUACUGCUUUGAACAAAAGGUCCCGUGAGCGCAGAGGUGAUUGUGUUUUCC